GAAUCGUCCUGUGAAGCUCAGCUCUGCAACGACAGGAAAAGCAAGAGGAUGAAGACGUCAGUGAGGAGCUGAAGGUUUCUUCGUCUUUGAGCGUUCAAGCCAUUUCUUCCGUUUGUUUGCGUGCGUUUUAAGGAUGCCAUAGAAGAACCGUUUUCGGCCGAAGAACCUUCUUUCGCCACAAAAAAAAGUUUUGUCAGACAGAAAGGUUCUUUACGGAAGCAUUUAAACAAAAAGCGUUUUUUUGAAUUUAUGAACCCUUACUUUGGAGAGCGUCCGCUAAGCACUAUGCUAAAUGUGUUUUUAAAUUGGAAGAACUUGGAUCAUGAAAUAAGGUUCACACACUAGUCUAGCACAGAGGAGAGGUGUGUGUUUUUGAGACAAGCCUGACCUCUGCUGCUGAACGAAGACUUCAUCAGUGUAGUGUAGAGUACUAGAGUGUGCUAAAUCUAACAUGCAUCCUAUUUCUAGUAACAUGAUCCGCAGACAUAUCAAUGUAUUUAACUGCAUUAUAUAAAAACUGUGAAGCUGAAAUAAGAA